rnacentral:rRNA from 1 species
UACAGAGGGUGCAAGCGUUAAUCGGAAUUACUGGGCGUAAAGCGUGCGUAGACGGUUAUGUAAGUCGGGUGUGAAAGCCCCGGGCUCAACCUGGGAAUUGCAUUCGAGACUGCAUAGCUAGGGUGCGGAAGAGGGAAGCGGAAUUUCCGGUGUAGCGGUGAAAUGCGUAGAUAUCAGGAGGAACACCGGUGGCGAAGGCGGGACUCUGGGCCGAUACUGACGCUGAGGAGCGAAAGCGUGGGGAGCAAACAGG